UCCACAGAGCUCCCCAACCCCUUCCACCUGUAAGGACACAGCAAGAAGUCUCAGACCUGGAAGAGGUCCCUCAUCCGACCAUGCUGGCACCAUGAUCUUGGACUUCCAGCUCCCAGAACUCAGGUGAACCUUGGCUGGUCCCCACUGCUGUGAAUGACGUUGCCUGUAUCUGCACAUGGCUGUUGAGACUGAAGAGGAAGAAACUACCUAAAUCAGCCAAGAUAUUUUAAUGGUAAGAAAUAGAUGAUGCAAUUCAAGCUGCCUAAAUAAUAAAAGAAAUGUAUAUUCUCAAGUAAAUAAAAAGUACUUCGGUGUGUGUGA